rnacentral:rRNA from 1 species
CCUACGGGUGGCAGCAGUGAGGAAUAUUGGUCAAUGGGCGGGAGCCUGAACCAGCCAAGUCGCGUGAGGGAAGAAGGUACUGAGUAUUGUAAACCUCUUUUGCCAGGGGACAAAGGCCGCCACGGGUGGCCGUUAGCGUGUACCGUGAGAACAAGCAUCGGCUAACUCCGUGCCAGCAGCCGCGGUAAUACGGAGGAUGCGAGGGUUGUCCGGUUUUAUUGGGUUUAAAGGGUGCGCGGGCGGCGGGUCAAUGCAGCGGUAAAAUGGCGGGGCUAAACCCGGGCCGGCCGUUGAAACUGGCGUGCUUGAGUUGGAGAGAAGUAGGCGGAAUGCGUGGUGUAGCGGUGAAAUGCUUAGAUAGCACGAAGAACCCCGAUUGCGAAGGCAGCAUACCGGCUCCACACUGACGCUGAGGCACGAAAGCGCGGGUAUCGAACAGGAUUAGAUACCCGUGUAGUC